AGGACGAACGCUGGCGGCGUGCUUAACACAUGCAAGUCGAGCGGUAAGGCUCCUUCGGGGGUACACGAGCGGCGAACGGGUGAGUAACACGUGAGUAAUCUGCCCUUCACUUUGGGAUAACCACCGGAAACGGUGGCUAAUACCGGAUAUGACCAGUCCACGCAUGUGGGUUGGUGGAAAGUUCUGGCGGUGGAGGAUGUGCUCGCGGCCUAUCAGCUUGUUGGUGAGGUAAUGGCUCACCAAGGCUUCGACGGGUAGCCGGCCUGAGAGGGUGACCGGCCACGACUGGGACUGAGACACGGCCCAGACUCCUACGGGAGCAGCAGUGGGAUAUUGGACAAUGGGACGAAAGCCUGAUCCAGCAACGCCGCGUGAGGAUGACGGCCUUCGGGUUGUAAACCUCUUCAGUACCGUACGAAGCGAGACGUGACGGUAGGUACGAGAAGAAGACACCGGACCAACGUACGU
rnacentral:rRNA from 1 species